GCCCCAUAGCUCAGUGGUAGAGCACCUGUUUUGCAUGCAGAGGAUCACAGGUUCAAUACCCAUCAUCUUCA